rnacentral:misc_RNA from 1 species
AAAAAAAAAAAAAAAAAAAACUUAUAUUUAUUAUGUUAAAAAAAUGGAGUCAUGCAAGACAAGAAUGCAAGUGCAUGUACAAGAACAAUCCGGACCAAUGGUCAGUAAGAAAACAAAAAUCAACAGCUUGGAAGAUCAGACGGUGGUGGUUGUAGCUUCUGAUUGGGUUGGGGUCCAUCCAACACUAGCCAUGCCAUCCUUAGCCCCCAGCUCGUGUGAACAUCCAGGUGACAGUGCAUAAACCAUACCCCUGGAUUAUCCGCUAGGAAGCGAAUGGCAAUCCAACCUCCAGCUGGAACCCCAGCUGUGUUCCUCUCAAUAGGGUCGACUAAAUUGAACUUGGCAGGAUCUUUGUUUGGAUCGUAGUUGCCGAAACCUUGUCCAACCACAAAAAAAUUAAAUCCAUGCAGAUGGAGAGGGUGGCUCUCUGCACCAAGAAUGCUCGUGCCUUGCAAUACCAGUUGCACGCUCGUGUUGAACCGUAGAAUCAACGCUUUUGUGCCAUUGCUAACCAUUGUAUUAUUUGGUGGGGUACCCGUAUAGUUAAAAGGUACAGGUGGGUUCUGAGGAAAAUCAGCUGUGAAAACGCUAUUAGACUUUCCAAAGAAAUAGGAUUGGAGAAGAGCUACAGUGGGUAAUGCAAAGGAGAUAUUAUUAACAGAAGCAGCAAAUUUGGUAGUAUUCGUAGGUCCCUGACAAGUGUUGUUGGCAGGGCAUGGAUUAGUCCCAAGUCCUACAGUGAAAAGAAAAUUUCUGUCUACAGUUUGUGGUACAUUAGCAGGGAAUUUGGCAUUGGCUAAGCUACGGAAUUUCCUGGUGAAAUUUGCAACGAAGGCUGUAGCGUUGAAUGGUGGCAGGGUUGGCUUAAAUAAGGGAAGCUUUUUAGAACUAUUUGAAGGGUGCUUGUAUUCAAGAAUAGCGGCAGUGGUCGAGUUGUCAAAGUUUCCAAUUCCAGUGAAGUAAGGCCUAGCAGACAUGAAAAAGAUUGCAUUAGGAAAAGCAGGCUUGGUUUUGAGGAGAACGUUAGUGGUUUGGCCUGGGGUGAUGAGGAGUGUAUCAGUGUCAAAAGGCUUAACAUAAAUGGCAUCAGCUUCGACGACGGUGAGAGUGUGGUUAGCGAUGCUGAAGAAAAGCUCGUCGUUGAGUGCAGCGUUGAUCAAGCGGAGAAGGUAGGUUUUUCCUGGCUUUACCUUCAGCUUGAAUGUAUCUUUAGAAGAACAGUUGUAUAGUGGCCCUGGGAGACCAUUGAUGGUAUAUGCAUCCGAAACAUUUGGACCUGCUCCAGUCUGAAGUGCCUGUGCAAUUAUAGCCUCUGGAUCUACGUUAAACCACUCUCCAAAGAGGAUGGGUAUCUCCUCGUAGGGCUUCUGAAAUGGGUAUGAUUCAUUGUGUUUUGGGAGGAUAAUGAUGGCUCCAUAAACGGAUGAUCUGAGCCAUGAGAUAUGAGCAUGCCAUAAGAGAGUUCCUCUCUGCCCAGUAAUGGUGAAGUUGUAGUUGUAUGACUGCCCAUUCUGUAUCGGACAUUGUGUUACAUAAGCAGGUCCAUCUGCCCAUCCGCUUGUAAGCUGCCUUAUCCCAUGCCAAUGAAUGGUGAUAUUGUAUGAAACAUGGUUAACAACCUUGACGAUAACUCGAUCACCUUCUCUUGCAACCAAGCGAGGCCCUGGGAACUUGCCAUUCACCGUCACAACGCUCCUUGUAUUGCAUAGUCUUGUAAUGUUUUGGUACGUGAUAUUGAACGUGUAAAGCCUUGUUAUGCCCACCGCAGAGUUUGGCAAUAACAAUAAAACACAGAAAGAACAGAAGAGGAGAGCUGCCAUUGAAGCAAAUGAAGGACGACAGGAGAUACCAAUUGCUUAAUUUCUCUUCUUCUCUCUCUAUUGAGUGAAUGUUGGAAGGGAAGUGAAGGGAAUGAGUGUGUG